rnacentral:rRNA from 1 species
CCUACGGGUGGCAGCAGUGGGGAAUAUUGGGCAAUGGGCGCAAGCCUGACCCAGCAACGCCGCGUGAAGGAAGAAGGCUUUCGGGUUGUAAACUUCUUUUCCCAGGGACGAAGAACGUUACGGUACCUGAGGAAUAAACCACGGCUAACUACGUGCCAGCAGCCGCGGUACUACGUAGGUGGCAAGCGUUCUCCGGAUUUACUGGGUGUAAAGGGCGGGUAGGCGGGGAAGCAAGUCAGAUGUGAAAAGCAGGGGCUCAACCUGUGGACGGCAUUUGAAACUGUUUUUCUUGAGGACAGGAGAGGGAGACGGAAUUCCUGGUGUAGCGGUGAAAUGCGUAGAUAUAAGGAGGAACACCAGUGGCGAAGGCGGUCUGCUGGACAGCAACUGACGCUGAGGCGCGAAAGCGUGGGGAGCAAACAGGAUUAGAUACCCCAGUAGUC